GUGUCAGCAGCCGCGGUAAUACAGAGGUCCCGAGCGUUGUUCGGAUUCACUGGGCGUAAAGGGUGCGUAGGUGGCAUGGCAAGUUUGAUGUGAAAGCUCAGGGCUUAACCCUGAAAUGGCAUUGAAUACUGCUGUGCUGGAGGUUUGGAGGGGGGACUGGAAUUCUCGGUGUAGCAGUGAAAUGCGUAGAUAUCGAGAGGAACACCAGUGGCGAAGGCGAGUCCCUGGACAACACCUGACACUGAGGCACGAAAGCCGGGGGAGCAAACAGGAUUAGAAACCCCCGUAGUCC
rnacentral:rRNA from 1 species